rnacentral:ribozyme from 13 species
GAGAAAGGAAGAAAUAAAGAGAAAGAAAAGAAUCAGAGAAGGAGUUGAUAUUCUUAAUCUUAACUCUCUCUUUUCUUCUCUCUCUUUCUCUCUCUUCUCUCUUUCU